rnacentral:rRNA from 1 species
UGCCAGCAGCCGCGGUAAUACGGAGGGUGCAGGCGUUGUUCGGAAUUAUUGGGCGUAAAGCGCGUGUAGGCGGUUCGUUAAGUCUGAUGUGAAAGCCCGGGGCUCAACCCCGGAAGUGCAUUGGAAACUGGCGAACUUGAGUACGGGAGAGGAAAGUGGAAUUCCGAGUGUAGGGGUGAAAUCCGUAGAUAUUCGGAGGAACACCAGUGGCGAAGGCGACCUCCUGGACUGAUAUUGACGCUGAGGUGCGAAAGCGUGGGGAGCAAACAGGAUUAGAUA